UACAGAGGUCGCAAGCGUUGUUCGGAUUCAUUGGGCGUAAAGGGCUCGUAGGCGGCCAACUAAGUCAGACGUGAAAUCCCUCGGCUUAACCGGGGAACUGCGUCUGAUACUGGAUGGCUUGAGUUCGGGAGAGGGAUGCGGAAUUCCAGGUGUAGCGGUGAAAUGCGUAGAUAUCUGGAGGAACACCGGUGGCGAAGGCGGCAUCCUGGACCGACACUGACGCUGAGGAGCGAAAGCCAGGGGAGCAAACGGG
rnacentral:rRNA from 1 species